GGAAUAUUGGACAAUGGGCGCAAGCCUGAUCCAGCAAUGCCGCGUGAGUGAUGAAGGCCCUAGGGUUGUAAAGCUCUUUUACCCGGGAAGAUAAUGACUGUACCGGGAGAAUAAGCUCCGGCUAACUCCGUGCCAGCAGCCGCGGUAAUACGGAGGGAGCUAGCGUUGUUCGGAAUUACUGGGCGUAAAGCGCACGUAGGCGGCUUUGUAAGUUAGAGGUGAAAGCCCGGGGCUCAACCCCGGAACUGCCUUUAAGACUGCAUCGCUUGAAUCCAGGAGAGGUGAGUGGAAUUCCGAGUGUAGAGGUGAAAUUCGUAGAUAUUCGGAAGAACACCAGUGGCGAAGGCGACUCACUGGACACGUAUUGACGCUGAGGUGCGAAAGCGUGGGGAGC
rnacentral:rRNA from 1 species